rnacentral:rRNA from 1 species
GUUAAGUCCCGCAACGAGCGCAACCCUUAUCCUGUGUUGCCAGCAGGCCCUUGUGGUGCUGGGGACUCACGGGAGACCGCCGGGGUCAACUCGGAGGAAGGUGGGGACGACGUCAAGUCAUCAUGCCCCUUAUGUCUUGGGCUGCACACGUGCUACAAUGGCCGGUACAAUGAGCUGCGAUACCGCGAGGUGGAGCGAAUCUCAAAAAGCCGGUCUCAGUUCGGAUUGGGGUCUGCAACUCGACCCCAUGAAGUCGGAGUCGCUAGUAAUUGCAGAUCAGCAUUGCUGCGGUGAAUACGUUCCCGGGCCUUGUACACACCGCCCGUCACGUCACGAAAGUCGGUAACACCCGAAGCCGGUGGCCC